GCACGGCCGCGUAUCCAUUUUCACCACACCAGUCGAGAACGGCUGCGAUGUCCUUUUCGUCGCGGGGAUAAGCCACAACAUCCGGCGGAUUUGGAUACUUGCGCUUGUAGAUCAUGGCCAGGUCGCGGAAGCUCUUGCCGUAGGUGUGAGCAACACGAUCCCAUUUUUCCGUCGUGCAGAAGCUUGCAAGCGACGCCGGCGGCUUGAUGCGCGGGGCACGGAUCUCAAUUUCGUCAAGGGUCGGAUCCGGGAGAACUGUGAAAUCGCUCAUGCCGAGGCGCUUCGCAACGCGCUCGUGCAUCGACUUCACUUCAGAUUCAGGAAUGUCCUGGCCU
rnacentral:misc_RNA from 1 species